UACGGAGGGUGCGAGCGUUGUCCGGAAUCACUGGGCGUAAAGGGCGCGUAGGCGGCGCGGCAAGUCCAUGGUGAAAGCUCGUGGCUCAACUGCGAGUCGGCCAAGGAUACUGCUGCGCUCGAGCACUGUAGAGGCAGGUGGAAUUCCGGGUGUAGCGGUGGAAUGCGUAGAGAUCCGGAAGAACACCGGUGGCGAAGGCGGCUCGCUGGGCAGUGGCUGACGCUGAGGCGCGGACAGCGUGGGGAGCAAACAGG
rnacentral:rRNA from 1 species